rnacentral:rRNA from 1 species
UACGAAGGGGGCUAGCGUUGCUCGGAAUUACUGGGCGUAAAGCGCACGUAGGCGGCUUUCUAAGUCGGGGGUGAAAUCCUGGAGCUCAACUCCAGAACUGCCUUCGAUACUGGAAAGCUCGAGUCCGGGAGAGGUGAGUGGAACUGCGAGUGUAGAGGUGAAAUUCGUAGAUAUUCGCAAGAACACCAGUGGCGAAGGCGGCUUACUGGUCCGGAUCUGACGCUGAGGCGCGAAAGCGUGGGGAGCAAACAGG